rnacentral:rRNA from 1 species
GAUGAACGCUGGCGGCGUGCCUAAUACAUGCAAGUCGAGCGAACAGACGAGGAGCUUGCUCCUCUGACGUUAGCGGCGGACGGGUGAGUAACACGUGGAUAACCUACCUAUAAGACUGGGAUAACUUCGGGAAACCGGAGCUAAUACCGGAUAACAUGUUGAACCGCAUGGUUCAACAGUGAAAGACGGUCUUGCUGUCACUUAUAGAUGGAUCCGCGCCGCAUUAGCUAGUUGGUAAGGUAACGGCUUACCAAGGCAACGAUGCGUAGCCGACCUGAGAGGGUGAUCGGCCACACUGGAACUGAGACACGGUCCAGACUCCUACGGGAGGCAGCAGUGGGGAAUCUUCCGCAAUGGGCGAAAGCCUGACGGAGCAACGCCGCGUGAGUGAAGAAGGUCUUCGGAUCGUAAAACUCUGUUAUUAGGGAAGAACAAAUGUGUAAGUAACUAUGCACGUCUUGACGGUACCUAAUCAGAAAGCCACGGCUAACUACGU